GUGCUGGAAUGUCGAUCCUAACCUUCUAUUUUGAAGGUUUCGAAUUCCUUGAUAAAUGUCGACGUCUAUCCCCCUUCUGGGAAUGUCGAACUCAAUUUUCUGUGGAAUGUCGAUCCUGUCCUUCUGUUUUGAAGGUUUCGAAUUCCUUGAUAAAUGUCGACGUCUAUCCCCCUUCUGGGAAUGUCGAACUCAAUUUUCUGUGGAAUGUCGAUCCUGUCCUUCUGUUUUGAAGGUUNNN
rnacentral:lncRNA from 1 species